GACGUAGGGCGCGAGCGUUGUCCGGAUUUAUUGGGCGUAAAGAGCUCGUAGGCGGCUUGUCGCGUCGACUGUGAAAUCCCGCGGCUCAACCGCGGGUCUGCAGUCGAUACGGGCAGGCUAGAGUUCGGUAGGGGAGACUGGAAUUCCUGGUGUAGCGGUGAAAUGCGCAGAUAUCAGGAGGAACACCGAUGGCGAAGGCAGGUCUCUGGGCCGAUACUGACGUGAGGAGCGAAAGCGUGGGGGAGCGAACAGG
rnacentral:rRNA from 1 species